AUUGAACGCUGGCGGCAGGCCUAACACAUGCAAGUCGAACGGUAGCACAGAGAGCUUGCUCUCGGGUGACGAGUGGCGGACGGGUGAGUAAUGUCUGGGAAACUGCCUGAUGGAGGGGGAUAACUACUGGAAACGGUAGCUAAUACCGCAUAACGUCGCAAGACCAAAGAGGGGGACCUUCGGGCCUCUUGCCAUCAGAUGUGCCCAGAUGGGAUUAGCUAGUAGGUGGGGUAACGGCUCACCUAGGCGACGAUCCCUAGCUGGUCUGAGAGGAUGACCAGCCACACUGGAACUGAGACACGGGCCAGACUCCUACGGGAGGCAGCAGUGGGGAAUAUUGCACAAUGGGCGCAAGCCUGAUGCAGCCAUGCCGCGUGUAUGAAGAAGGCCUUCGGGUUGUAAAGUACUUUCAGCGGGGAGGAAGGUGUUGAGGUUAAUAACCUCAGCAAUUGACGUUACCCGCAGAAGAAGCACCGGCUAACUCCGUGCCAGCAGCCGCGGUAAGAC
rnacentral:rRNA from 1 species